AGAUUGAACGCUGGCGGCAGGCCUAACACAUGCAAGUCGAGCGGCAGCACGGGUACUUGUACCUGGUGGCGAGCGGCGGACGGGUGAGUAAUGCCUAGGAAUCUGCCUGGUAGUGGGGGGAUAACGCUCGGAAACGGACGCUAAUACCGCAUACGUCCUACGGGAGAAAGCAGGGGACCUUCGGGCCUUGCGCUAUCAGAUGAGCCUAGGUCGAUUAGCUAGUUGGUGAGUAAUGGCUCACCAAGGCGACGAUCCGUAACUGGUCUGAGAGGAUGAUCAGUCCACACUGGAACUGAGACACGGUCCAGACUCCGUACGGGAGCAGCAGGUGGGAAUGUGGACAAGUGGGAC
rnacentral:rRNA from 1 species